UCCUCCCCUGAUUUUUUCCUCUCCCUAGCUGCCUCCCUCCUCCCCGAUUUCCUCCUCUCCCGAGGCUCUACUCGUCCAGGUCGCAGCACGCCGCCGCGGGAGCAGCGCCGGCUCACGAGUAGCAGCAGCGCCGGCGGCUGAUGCAGGAGAGAGAGGAGUAGGUGCACCAUCUCGGCGACCUCCUCCGCGGCGGCGAGCGAGGCGCGGGUACGGGCCGCCGCGUGGGCAACGCGACGGCGGGCCUGCCCUCGAACCGCGCAUCAACGUGGUGCAGGAGGGCGUCGGCGGUGCCGCAGAGCUCCGGGCCGACGGCGGAGAGGCGGAGCACGGGGCCGCCGAGCGGGGCCGCCUUGGAGGGCGUGAAGUGCAGCGGUGCGGCGGCCUUGUAGGGGAGCGCGACGUGGAGGCGCCACGCCACGGGGCAGCCGUGGGAGCCGUAGACGCGGACCACAUCGUCGGGGUCGGGGUCGACGGAGACAAUCCCCCUCCUCUCCUCUCUUGAGCCGCCGCCGGCGCUCUCCACCGAGACGGCGUCAUGCCGUGCCUUGCCUCCACCAUCUCUCUAGGCAGUUGCCUGGCUGAAGCAGUGGGUCGUCGCAUCUUGGGGCAUAGUCUGUGCAGGGAAGGCGACUAGAUAUGGAGUGGCGACGGGCUGCAGGGCGCCAUAGCUGAAGGAGAUGGACCUCAACAUGUGGAGCGGGAAUGGAAGAUGCAAUCUGAUGCUGGGGUUAGACCUCCACCGUCAGCCUUCUCUGCCUCAUCGCCGAUCUCGUGAUAAUGCAGCAGUCAGUAGGUGAGGCCUAGAUUUGAGGCGCAUUCGAGGAGCAACGCUCGGCUCCGGUUUGGCCGGACGGAUGACAAGCAGCAGCGCAAGACGCUGGCCAACAACACAACAGUUAGCCCUCCUCUGCCUAUUCUCUUUGCAAGGAUCUACAGGUUUUCCCUCUUCUAUUUCUCUCUAUCAAACGCUACUCUUCAAGAGGCUGUGAUAAAAGUGGAGGCAGACUCUACCUAUUUGAUUUAGCUCCUAAAACAUCUCAUCUUGAUUUGUGCAGAUCUGUUUUUACUGCUGCAUGGAAAGUGUUUGAUGAAAAUCCUAGAUAAAAUUAAUGUAUGCAAGGAAUCGGUCAUUGGUAACAUCUCAUAGGGUCUGGUUAUAGUUUUGACUAUGCAUACUAUUAAAUAGUAUGUAUUUGUGGAGUGCAGUCUGUAAAAGGACAAGUGCGACAUACCGAAAUGCAACUUAGAUUCAACCUCCAUCUUUUCUAGAUUUUUAGACUGAACAUUAUCACUAUUAAACUAGAGUAGUUUUCAGAUGCUACAGAUAUAUGGCAGGUCCUGAUGUCAUAUGCUACAAAGAAUUUAAUUUAUGGAGUGAGUUGUAUAGAUAUUUUUGGCUGAUUGGUCUUCUCAAUUUUUUUAAAGGUGGACUUGGACCUUGGAAACUAAACGAUGAAACAAUUUAGCCAAUGCUGCAAUACUCGGAUUUCUAAAUAUCAUGUAGAGGAUGAGUGUCAGUGCUACAAUUAUCCUUGCUGGUUGCUUUGGCAUCCUAUUCAAAUCGACAACAUCCAUUGCUUUGUUUUUGUUUGAUAUUGGACAUUUUGUGUUCUCAUGCAAGUGUUGCUGUGCUUGUGGCCUGGUUGCUCUCGGUGGUGAUUCCUCAUGUUCGAAAAUCAAGUUUUGCUCUUAGUCCACCGCCAUCCCUUCCCUGACUCUUUUUCCUCGUGACAAAAUUGGUUCAGUUUCUUGCAUAUCUAAAAAUUGUACCUGCAUAUUUUCAAGUUGUGUUUCAGGAAUUGAUUCAUUGCGGAUGAUUUACUUUUACACAUGCUGAUAAUGGUGGCGCUACGAUGAGGAUUCGAGGUUCCACUCUCUCAGUUAAGAUCCACUUUUUGUAUUGAAUUUGUAUGGAAUUACUCCAAAUUAGUGUGUGCAAAAGAAAUAUCAAUGCUAAUUAGUUUUACACUGGAAAAACAAUGCGUCAGUAUAUGAACUUUUCAGUCUUAUGUAUCCACAGAUUAGUGGCUUAUAAAAAACCAAUAGCAUCCUUGAAUCGGACAAAUGGACCUGUCAUCUUUUAAUCGGACUGCAGCCAAGUGGUCAAUGCUAUGCAUCAGGGAAGAGAAUCGCUCUCCAACCUUAGAAGCAUCCUUUCAGAUUUUAUUGUGGAAGCUUCUUGCUGUCAACAAUGGACCUGUAUUCAUGUAAAAAGAGCAAAAAAUGCUGUAGCUCAUGAGUGUGCUGCAUAUGUGCAGCAGGUAGGUGGUACGUAUGUCUGGGAUUUGCUCUUCCCAGAACGUGUUACCAAUGCCUAUGCUCUGGAUUGUAACCGAAUUAUGUCUCUUGAUUAAUUGAAACUUUUUAAAACUCAAAAAAAAAAACCAAUAGCAUACAUUGACUCCUCAUCUGAUCCAGGUAUGACGUCGAUUUGCCGUUCUCCCAGGUUUCUCUCUCUGAAUAGUGAUUGUCAUUAAUUCAAAUAAGAUCAUCUGUGUGGAGUAUCCUGGAUAAGAGUAGCAGACAUGGAGAUGCCUGCAUAUUCUAUACGUUUGUUUUCAUGCAUUUCUUUGUUUCUUUAGUUUACCUCUAUGUUUUCCUGCUCGCUGAGUCAAGUGGCUCUUUUUUGGUUCGUUAUUCCUGCUUGUUCUUUGCUACACUUGAAUAUUUCAUAUACCUUUCCACUAAUCUCUCGCACUAACCUUCCUUCUUUAUUAACUUCAGACAAGAAAAUGGAUGUAUUUCUUGAACUGGUGAUAAUUACACUUCAAGAAGCAAGGCAUGACAAAGAGUAAUGAAUAUUCUUCCAAGCAUAACUAUUACCAUGCAUGUGGAUUACCUGCUACAGAUAUUCCACAUGGGUACUGUGAUGCUACACAGAUUACCUCUUACGUGUUUCUAUUGAGAAUUAGACAAACCUUGAUAAAACAUAGUUAUCAUGUUUGAUGGGAAACAUAUAUAAGAAACUAAAAUAGUUUGCUCUCAUAAUCAAUUUCUUGCCUGGGGUUGAAGAGCCCGCAGAUGGCAUAAAACACUAAGAAUUUCAUUGUGAUGGACAUAUUUUGAACCCUCACAUCGUGCAACACUGCAUACAUCAACUCUUGGAUUAUGCUAUGUAUUGCCUCGAGCAUUUUCAGAGGUGACAAAUCUUGCAUGCAACCUUCCUUUUUCUUCUGGUGUGAUCAAAACUAUAUAAAAACCAUGAGUAAUUGACUGAAAUUGUGUGUGUUUCUGAUCAUGCUAGAUAUUUCUUAUGAGAGCUUCAGUAAAAUCCUUCACUUAUUGUAAAUUUGGCAAGACGCAUUGUUUAUUUACUGAGAAGUUGUCUCUUAUAGAUGAUUAUUCGUAGCUUGCUGGAAUAGACUUCUUCAGGGGACACCAAACACUGUCGAUUGAUUUAAAUUUUGCUCAUAUUUAUUCUGACACUUCAUCAGUUGUUUGUUCUAAUUCCAUGUCAGAUAUAGCUGAGAAGCUACAUCAGAUGAGUUCUUUACUUCACUAAAGAUAUUGAUUUCUCCCCCUCACUUAAUUUAUCUAUCGGAAGCUCUUAUCCACUUCGCUGACGAUACAAGCCACUUGAAGUUUGCAUGGACUGAUGCAUGCCACAAUAUCUUUACUCUAGGUGUGAUUGGAAUACAUGAUCUUUGAGUUUGGUUUUUCUGAAGAACUACAACCUGCCCUUCCUGUUUUAAUUGUCAUGGUGUGUUCUCGGUACAAGCGAUAUAGUUAAAUUUAAGAAAUAUAGUAGCUUGCAGCUAAGCUCAUUAUAUUUUUGGUCUAUACAUGUGAUAUAAUUAAAUUUAGCGAAAAAUAUUAGCUUAUGUUGAGGUAUUUCAGUUUUGAUCAUUAUACAGUUCACUGCCUUCUGAGCCCAUUGUAGGAUAAAUAGCAAGGUCCUUUGUUUUCUUAUGAAGUUUCUUCAUAACUAAUUGUACUCGGAGGCAUCUUCUUGCUGAGUUAAGGUUUUUUUUUUAAAAAAUGAAGACCAUCUAUAUGAAUUAAAGCUGGACAUGCUCUUGCUGAGUUACUUCUUGGGCCAGUUUGAUUUUUUCAUUACGUUUUGUCAGAUUCCUUUUAUUGCAUCUUCCGUUUGUAUUUGUUCAAACUAUCAGAGAACUUGGAGUUGAGACUAAGAAUCUAUUUUUAUCCUCUUUUGUCAUAUAUAUCUUGCAGAAUGUUCAGCAGGUUAUGUGCUAAUUUUUCAUCUGGCAAACAGAACUUCCUCUACGUAGGAAGUAUAUAUUGAGUUUGAUUGUGUGUUGAUAUUGAGUGCUCGCAAGAAAUUGAAAUAGGCUAAAGAUUAGUUUACUUUGGUAAUCUAUGUUCAGUAGCAUUUUCCAAAUAUAUGUUUCAGUUAUCCUGCAAAAAGACUUCAGUUGAGUUGAAUUCAGUUACAGGACUGAACAAUUAGGGAUUUGUACAUACAUAUUUCGUUGUGAUCUGUGGCAUAAUUUUUGUUCAUGUGCCUUACUAGCUAUAGUCUGUAGAAUGACACUUAUCAUUGGUAUUGGUUCUACGCUACAACUUAUUUUACGACUUUUGCAUAGUUGUCAACAUGUUUAUACUAAAUCUUUUAGCUAGCUCCUAAUAUUUCACUAUUCUAUUGUUUUGUAGUACACUUGUGCAGUACAUGGUAAGAAGCUUUUGGAAUAGGGUGUUCACUAGGGAGUUGGCAAUGGGAAGUCUGCAAAUAUGUCCUGACAAGUUGGUUGUGGAUGAACUUCUUGGGCCGGUGUAUCCAAUUCUUUCAACUCCUUAGGCAGACGGUAGACGUUCUUAUUAUUCCAUAAUCGGGCAAAUGGGAUCCAGACACAUUCUUCUCUCCUGGCAUGGCUCAUGCAGAUACCUCUUUGUCAAGCUAACUGAUGAUUUUACUACAUGGCAACAUACUAAAGGUGGCGUUUAUUCAGUCAAGUCAGCCUAAAGCUGACACGAGCUAAUUGCCUAAAUUUUGGUAUCUGAACUUCCUAUAAACAGUGUGAAAAUAGAGAUGACCAUGCUUUGUAAUUUCAAGUAUCAUGUUUACUAUGACAUAGUUGGCAUACUUUAUCUUCAGAUCAUUUGCUAUGCUAUCUACUGUACUUUGAGAGAGAAUGGUUUCACAAGAUUUUAGUCUAUACUAUAUUCAACCUGUAAGACAAGCUCCCUAACCUUUUUGAUGAACAAGGAGGCAUCAUGAACUAACUGACGCAUUUUUGUAGGUCUACACAUUUUCCAGAAACAGCUGUUGUAGGCCAAGGACUGCCUGGAGUUGUCCACCUGUUGCGGUGGCUCCUGUUUGGCUUACUCAAUUUUGACGGAAGGAAGGCUAUGUAACUCCAGUACCGACUGACAUACCCACAUGAAGGGUGGUAGGUGAGGAAGGAUGUUGUAAACUGCGCGCAGUUUCUAGGCGAGAACAGUAGUGUCCCAGAUGUAGCGGUUCACUUUGUAGCAACUUUUUUUCUCUAUUUUGCAUUUGUUGCCCGGUGAAGUGAACAAGGUCUGUGUGUGGUUCUGGCUGAAUACAUACCUUCUAGAGUACUAUAUAUCUAAAGUUUGUUAUUACCUAUGAACAUUUCUGUUAAUCAAAUCAACAAUGUGUCA